UUAAGCAAUCCUCUACUUUCUCUCUAUAGCAGAUAUUAAUCCAGGAUUCAGGUUAUAGUGUCCUAAAAAUAAGUGGUUUGUUUACAAUUUUUUAACUGGGUGUGUUCUAUAAAUGUAUCGGUUUAUACAUUUAAUUAAAAAAAAAAUUAUAUUUAAAGGGACAUUUCAGGCACCAUAACUACUUCAGCUGGUUGAAAUGGUUAUGGUGCCUGGAGUCCUUGGGUGCUUCGGCCCACAUAACUGCUAAUUGUUUACUCACCGUUAGGCUAAAAAUGUCACCUGAGCACUUUCAGCCUAACUCUGCCCCAAUGUCUGCUAUGACUUGGUGUAUCACAAGGCCAGGCUGCUGGGGACCAAGUAUCUCUGAGUAAAUGGGACCUGGCACCAAAGCAUCCCAAGCACCAUAACUACAUUAAUCUGUUUAAGUGGUUUUGGUGCCAACAGUGUUCCUUUAAGUUUUCAUUAACACCUGUAAAGGCAAAUAAACUAUUACAGAGUUAUUUACUAACGGGAGAAUUUAAAGUGAAUGUCAAUUUUUUUUUAUUUUUUUUUUUGAGGUCAUAACAGCUGUACUGGAAGCAUAGCUGAUUUGGGGAUUAUUAUUUUUUCCCCGAAUUCAGCUAUUUUUACCUUGAACUUGAAAUUCACUUUGAUUUCCUGACUUUUCUUAUUUUAGGGUUAAUAUAGGUACUACUUGGGUACUACUCUGAUAAUUUUUGGAGCCCAAAUACUUGUUUAUAGGGUUCUAUAUCUUGGUUUUAUAAUUACAUGAUAUCUCACGUGUAGCCAAACGCAGUACCAACGGGGAACAGAACUAUACAAAUACACUAUAGCUUGUGAGUAAUAAGCACUGAAAUAUCUAUGCUACACUACCAGCAAUAUUUAAUACACACAGGGAUAUUUAAUAAAGUGAGAAUUGUCAAUUUUCAAAUUUUAGACCAAAAUAGUCAAACCGGAAGCAUAGCUCACAUGGAGAGGUUUUCCAGAUCAGCUUUUCUAGCUUUUAAAUUAAUUUGGAAUUUACGACAGUUCUCAUGUUAGAAAGUAACCUUUUUUCUAUUAAAGUGUAUAACUGGAUUUGAGGUUGAAAUAACGCUUCUAACAUCCCAAUCAAAUCUAAUCUAACAUGCCCAUCAAAUUGUUGUAAAUGGAGUAUAUUGUCAUACUGAUGCUAUAAAUGAACACUGCUCACCGGUUAAAUUUAAAAUUAUUUACUAAACACCAAAUUUGUGUGAGUUUAAAACAUUGGCUAAAGUUGUGACUAAAGCGGAGUUGUAGAAUUAUUCCAAAUCAGCAAUUUUUGCCAUUUGACUUAAUUCACUUAAAUGUGAAUUUAAUGAAUAACCCAAAUGGGGGCUAUUUGCCAAACCAGUGGGAGUGUAGAAUUGCCACGUGGACUGCAAAUUUAAGGCUAAAAUUGCAGAAUUGGAAACCUUUUUCAUAUGAUUUAUAAUUAAUCCAGUUAUCCAUUAUGGCCAAGAAGUCUCAAUUUAAUUUGUGCGAGUUCUCUGCAUCUCCCAGUUGGUGAAUGAUCCCAAAAGUCUUUAAGCAGACCAAAAAGAGAAUACUGCCUGUGUACCAUUGUGACUCAUUCAUUCAAAGAACAGAAACUGAGGGGACCAAAUAAUGCCUCUGAAAAGAUUCAAUUCCUUAAAAAUCAGCCCUCAUUGUGAAUUUUUAAAGUGAAUAUUAACUGUGAAAAAGUACAACAAAACCACUCAAUGUGCUUUUUGACGUUUAAUUGUAACGUAUUGACAGUCAAUUAAGUGAUUAAAGGCAUAAACGGAGUAAGGGGUUUUGCUGCACUUUUUUCUCUGUUAUUGCGUUCUUUAUGGAUUCACAUUAUUGGCUUAAUUUUAAGAAUUUAUAGAUCAACUCUUUCCAGAAAGCUCACUUUUUUUUUAUUUUUUUUUUACCUACUGUAAUUUGAAUUUGGCAUGUCCAGUUUCAGGAAGAGUGCCCUAAUGUAUGCUGUAAAGUCGGAGAAGUUAUAUUUUAUACAUAAAAGUCCUUAAAGCCUGUAAUUAUUUUGUGCUAAUUUGCAAUCAAGUCCACUUUAAAAGGGACUCUAACAUUUAGAAAUGGACUAGCCGUAUUACAUCCGCUUUUGCCUACGGGAAAAACUUUAAGAUAAGGGAAAUAUUAACGAAUGUGCAAUGUAUUAACUUGAAAUCAUAGAAUGUCAUAAACAUUGUGUUUGUGUGUCUUUGUGGGUUUUUUAUUUUUUUUAUUCAAAUCUAAUAAAUGCACUAACAAGAAUUUAAUAUUUGGAAUUAUGACUGGUAUAAGUAAAUUGCUGGAUGUUAUUAAUUUGUAAUGUAUUUAAUUGUAAUAUCUUACACAUGCUGUUUCAGUACUACUUUUUAUGGGAACUGAUCUAUUAAACUUAACCUUUUUCAUUAUUCUCGAGUUGAUGUGAUGUGUGUUUGCUUUUAUUUGAUGGAAACUACAUUGAGAAAAU